CGUAGGGUGCGAGCGUUAAUCGGAAUUACUGGGCGUAAAGCGUGCGCAGGCGGUUAUGUAAGACAGGUGUGAAAUCCCCGGGCUUAACCUGGGAACUGCAUUUGUGACUGCAUAGCUAGAGUACGGUAGAGGGGGAUGGAAUUCCGCGUGUAGCAGUGAAAUGCGUAGAUAUGCGGAGGAACACCGAUGGCGAAGGCAAUCCCCUGGACCUGUACUGACGCUCAUGCACGAAAGCGUGGGGAGCAAACAGGAUUAGAUACCCUGGUAGUCCACGCCCUAAACGAUGUCAACUGGUUGUUGGUCCCUCACUGGAUCAGUAACGAAGCUAACGCGUGAAGUUGACCGCCUGGGGAGUACGGCCGCAAGGUUG
rnacentral:rRNA from 1 species